rnacentral:misc_RNA from 1 species
AUGGGCUUCCGAUCUCUUCUCGCCCUGAGCGGCCUUGUCUGCAACGGGUUGGCAAAUGUGAUUUCCAAGCGCGCGACCUUGGAUUCAUGGUUGAGCAACGAAGCGACCGUGGCUCGUACUGCCAUCCUGAAUAACAUCGGGGCGGACGGUGCUUGGGUGUCGGGCGCGGACUCUGGCAUUGUCGUUGCUAGUCCCAGCACGGAUAACCCGGACUGUAUGUUUCGAGCUCAGAUUUAGUAUGAGUGUGUCAUUGAUUGAUUGAUGCUGACUGGCGUGUCGUUUGUUGUAGACUUCUACACCUGGACUCGCGACUCUGGUCUCGUCCUCAAGACCCUCGUCGAUCUCUUCCGAAAUGGAGAUACCAGUCUCCUCUCCACCAUUGAGAACUACAUCUCCGCCCAGGCAAUUGUCCAGGGUAUCAGUAACCCCUCUGGUGAUCUGUCCAGCGGCGCUGGUCUCGGUGAACCCAAGUUCAAUGUCGAUGAGACUGCCUACACUGGUUCUUGGGGACGGCCGCAGCGAGAUGGUCCGGCUCUGAGAGCAACUGCUAUGAUCGGCUUCGGGCAGUGGCUGCUUGUAUGUUCUCCACCCCCUUGCGUCUGAUCUGUGACAUAUGUAGCUGACUGGUCAGGACAAUGGCUACACCAGCACCGCAACGGACAUUGUUUGGCCCCUCGUUAGGAACGACCUGUCGUAUGUGGCUCAAUACUGGAACCAGACAGGAUAUGGUGUGUUUGUUUUAUUUUAAAUUUCCAAAGAUGCGCCAGCAGAGCUAACCCGCGAUCGCAGAUCUCUGGGAAGAAGUCAAUGGCUCGUCUUUCUUUACGAUUGCUGUGCAACACCGCGCCCUUGUCGAAGGUAGUGCCUUCGCGACGGCCGUCGGCUCGUCCUGCUCCUGGUGUGAUUCUCAGGCACCCGAAAUUCUCUGCUACCUGCAGUCCUUCUGGACCGGCAGCUUCAUUCUGGCCAACUUCGAUAGCAGCCGUUCCGGCAAGGACGCAAACACCCUCCUGGGAAGCAUCCACACCUUUGAUCCUGAGGCCGCAUGCGACGACUCCACCUUCCAGCCCUGCUCCCCGCGCGCGCUCGCCAACCACAAGGAGGUUGUAGACUCUUUCCGCUCAAUCUAUACCCUCAACGAUGGUCUCAGUGACAGCGAGGCUGUUGCGGUGGGUCGGUACCCUGAGGACACGUACUACAACGGCAACCCGUGGUUCCUGUGCACCUUGGCUGCCGCAGAGCAGUUGUACGAUGCUCUAUACCAGUGGGACAAGCAGGGGUCGUUGGAGGUCACAGAUGUGUCGCUGGACUUCUUCAAGGCACUGUACAGCGAUGCUGCUACUGGCACCUACUCUUCGUCCAGUUCGACUUAUAGUAGCAUUGUAGAUGCCGUGAAGACUUUCGCCGAUGGCUUCGUCUCUAUUGUGGUAAGUCUACGCUAGACAAGCGCUCAUGUUGACAGAGGGUGCGUACUAACAGAAGUAGGAAACUCACGCCGCAAGCAACGGCUCCAUGUCCGAGCAAUACGACAAGUCUGAUGGCGAGCAGCUUUCCGCUCGCGACCUGACCUGGUCUUAUGCUGCUCUGCUGACCGCCAACAACCGUCGUAACUCCGUCGUGCCUGCUUCUUGGGGCGAGACCUCUGCCAGCAGCGUGCCCGGCACCUGUGCGGCCACAUCUGCCAUUGGUACCUACAGCAGUGUGACUGUCACCUCGUGGCCGAGUAUCGUGGCUACUGGCGGCACCACUACGACGGCUACCCCCACUGGAUCCGGCAGCGUGACCUCGACCAGCAAGACCACCGCGACUGCUAGCAAGACCAGCACCAGUACGUCAUCAACCUCCUGUACCACUCCCACGGCGCCGUAA